rnacentral:rRNA from 1 species
AUUGAACGCUGGCGGCAUGCUUUACACAUGCAAGUCGGACGAGUGGCGAACGUGUGAGUAACAUAUCGGAACGUACCGAGUAAUGGGGGAUAACUAAUCGAAAGAUUAGCUAAUACCGCAUAUUAUUCUAACGGCCGAUAUGUGAUUAGCUGGUGGGUGGGGUAAAGGCAUACCAAGGCGACGAUCAGUCGCGGGUCUGAGAGGAUGAUCCGCCACACUGGGACUGCGACACGGCCCUGACGCCUACGGGACGCAGCAGUGGGGAAUUUGGGACAAUGGGCGCAAGCCGUACACAGCCAUGCCGCGUGUGUGAAGAAGGCCGUCGGGUUGGAAAGGACUUUUGUCAGGGAAGCGGUACCUGAAGAAUAAGCACCGGCUAACUACGUGCCAGCCGCCGCGGUAAUUC